UGAGGAACAUGACCUUCGGCGGGGGAUAGCCGGCCCAACGGCCGGGUAAUACCGCGUACGACCACAUGGGGACAUCCCUGAGUGGUGAAAGCAGCAAUGCGCCGAUGGAGUGCCUCGCGGCCUAUCAGCUAGUUGGUGAGGUAACGCUCACCAAGGCGACGACGGGUANCUGGUCUGAGAGGAUGGCCAGCCACAGUUGGGACUGAGACCACCGGCCCAGACCUCGUAACCGGGGAGG
rnacentral:rRNA from 1 species